ensembl:lncRNA
UGUGUUUCUUGGUGCAAGCAAAUCUCUUCUUAUUAUUGGUUUCAUUUAGUAGUGGUUUCUUUGCAGUAAUUUGACAAUGAAGGCCUUAAUCAUGCAGUCUCCUCAGAACAGUUGAUGUUGAGACGUGUCUGUUACCUGAACUCUGUGAAGCAUUUAUUUGGGCUGCAAUCGCUGAGGCUGUUAACUAUAAUACUGAUCCUCUGCAGCAGAGGUAACUGGGUUUUCCUUUCCUGUGGCAGUCCUCAUGAGAGACAGUUAACUGUAAUGAACUGAUCCUCUGCAGCAGAGGUGACUCUGGGUCUUCCUUUCCUGUGGCUGUCCUCAUG